rnacentral:lncRNA from 1 species
AUGUUAUCAUCCUGCUGCUGGGAACAACAGAAGGACACAUGUGGGCAUUUCCAAAGGAAUCAAAUGGACUUCCUGACUUCAACCACACAGAUGGACAGCCUUCCAGAGGCAAGAGGCAAAGAGACAAGGGUAACUGUUGGCUGGCUUGGGAUUUCUAGGUCCAGACUCAAAAGAGCAGUGAUUUUCUUUAUUAUACACCUGCACAGGGCUCUGUGUGAAUCUGGGGCCAUGCAAGAGGAGUGGAUGCCUUGCCUAAAGCCCUGGCAGAGAAGCAGCUUUCUGCAGGAGGGGAUGGGGGCCAACUCCAAGGUCAGAAAAUGGGUAGGUUUCCCUUCCACACAGUCAGGUAAACGGGGAUCCUGGCCCCAGAGUGGUGUAGCUGCCCUCAGCUCUGGGCUCACAUCUGCCAAAGCCCUCAUCACAGGAUGGUUACUAUAUGGACCGUUUCCUUAUCCAUCUCUUCUGCUGGGCUGUGAGUUCCUAGAAUGCAUUGAUUGUGCCUUACUCUUCUUUGUUGUCCCAGCUUCUAGAGCAGUCAUUGUGCUCAGUGUAGACUGAAUGGAUGGAUGUCACACACAAAUGUAGAGGAGUGCAGUGCAUACAGAAUACUCUAGGGACAAUAGCCAAUUUACAUUCCUACCAGUUUAACCAAAAUUAACUUCAAAUUAUAAACUUUCCCCUCCAACUUAUUGGCUGCAUAGCUCACCAAACUUGGGCAAAUUACUAAUAUUUCUAAGCCUCGUUGUCUGAUCUAUAAAACAGAAAUGUCAAUAACAUAUACUUCAUAGAUAGUUGACAAAAUUAAAUAGGAGUGUGAAGAAAUGGGGAGAUGUUGGUCAAAGAAUGCAAACAAAUAUUAUAAGACAAAUAAGAGCUAGGGAUCUAAUGUACAGCUGAUACCAGACCUGAUAUCAGUUUCCCUACAGUAAACCCAGCGUAUAUGGGGUUAAAACCCAAACACUAAUUCCCUGCUUACUCCAUGGCUUCCUGACUCCAGAAUCGACUAUCCUCCAUGGAGACAGACACAGCCAAGGACAACCACCUGGAUUCGUUAUCUCCUCCUCCUCCCUGUCAAGGAGCUCCAGGUUGGUGGACCAGCUCCGAUGAACAAAGCCAUGUGCUCCCCCUCCCCUACCUAAAACCCCAAAUAAAAACCCUUACUUAUAGAUUUCA